GACAUAAUCCGAGCUGAAAACAGUGAGAAUAAAAAACAUCCUGUGUGUUGCAAAUCUCUCCAAAUAAAUAUUAGUCUACCAGUUUUAUAUAAAAACUAAUUUUGCACAGACGUUUGACACUAAUAGAAAUAAACCUUCCCUUUCCACAGCAAACAGUCCAUUUCAGUUCGGUUCAGCCUCUCCUUAUUUCUAACAGCACAGUUGUAAUUAAAGCUUCAACUCGAGGAAACAUACCGAGAUCUUUGUAUAAAAAUAAAUAUACAAUUUGAAUACAAUAUCACAGCUGUUGGUUAGCUGAGUUAGUUGAUGUGAGUUAAUGCACUGACAUUCUAGCUGUCGCCCUUUGCUAAAUAUUAUCAGACAGAUGCUGCAUUUUCAGUUUUUUAUGUGGUUUAAUUCACAUCUAAUUAUUUUGAGCUGAUUGCAGGAUGAACUUGUUUCACUCCCAGUAAAACAACUUAACCUCUCACAAGUGAUUUUCUAAAUAAUGAUACAAAAUGCAUCCCUUAAUAACAGAAGCAGACAGUUACCCUCAUGUUUUGUCGUCCUGCACCAGUUUGUAUAUAUACAAAUUACAUUACAACACAGAUUUUCUCGCUCCCUCUGUAAUUUUCAAGGCCUCGUUCUAAAGUAACGAAAACACAACAAAUCAUACUUUGAGGUGAUUAUACUCUAAUGCUCAUAUAAUUACAUUCCAUUUCUGACAGGAAUUCUGAUGUUAUUCUACAUGCUGGACUUUUAAAUGACUGGUAUUUAUGUUGGAUUAGUAAUAAAUCUUUCUGCAGGACAAACGUCUCAUCACAACUUGACCACCGACUCCUUAAUUUGAGUAGUACCUGUGUCUGAGCAGGAUGGACAGACGGCUCUCCGGGGACAGCCCACGGCCGGGACGACCAAUCCUCCCAGCCCGUUUUCUACCAUCAUGUAGAACUGCAGAGUCACACACAGUAGGUGACGCAUGCAGCGAUGGAGAGCAGGGAGACGAGGAGCACCAUGCAGGCCGCGAUGACCACGUUUCUUCUCUUCUCCUCCUCGGCCUGCUGAAGCUGCCACCACUCCAGGUCACUGAACUGACAGCGCUCGCCCAUGUAGCCCGAUACACAACUGCAACAAGGCACAACAAAGGCACAAAGUUAAACAUGAUAUUUCCCAAGAGAGAAGAUAUUUUGUGCAGCCAGCGAGGGGAUGAACCACCACGAUGGAUGCUGGUUGGACCAUGUUGCCAUGGAUACGCUGCAGUUUCUUCCCGGUCCGCUUGUGUACGCUCCUCAGCUGCUGGUGCUCCUGAUCCGAUAUCCACAACCGGUCCUCGAAUACGGCGAGGUCAAAGGGUCGCCCUGGGUGAAUGGGACGAAGGGAAAGACGAGUGGAGUUCAUUAAGUGCUUCAAGGACCCGUCGAUCAGAACCAUCCAGGGCAGCCGUCUCCACCACACCCCUCCUCUGGUCGCACCAGAACAGGCGAUCCUCCGUGAAAUCAAUAGUCAGGCCGCUCGGUGACUCCAGGCUGCUGCUAGCGAUGACAGUGCGGUCUUUCCCUUCCAGCGAGGCGCUUUCCACAGCAGGCCGGGCACCGAUAUCAGUCCAGAACAACUUCCUGAAAUGACAACAGACCUGCAGUAUGUCAGAGGGGAUCGAGCAGAAACAGACUGAUGUGGAGAAGUUAUAUCGAAUAUUCUGUCUUCAGUCUCAGCGCUGGACCUUCAGUGACAAAGUGUCAGAGAUCUGACCCGAAUAACCUGACACACAAUUGGCAGCUCGCAUGUGUCUGGUCUGGGAUGACCCGGCCUUUUUAUUGGCUCUGUCGGGUCAAAGUCGUGUCUGGGGGACAAAUGCCACCUUUCAUGGCCCCACAGAAUAAAAGAGGUUCCCAUCUGAAA